UGAUGUGGUGCUGUGGGGGGGGGCUUCCCAGCAGUCGAGCGGAAGGCCCUUCGGGGUACUCGAGCGGCGAACGGGUGAGUAACACGUGAGUAAUCUGCCCUUCACUUCGGGAUAGCCCCGGGAAACCGGGAUUAAUACCGGAUAUGACCCAUCCCCGCAUGGGGUGUGGGUGGAAAGUUUUUCGGUGGGGGAUGUGCUCGCGGCCUAUCAGCUUGAUGGUGGGGUAAUGGCCUACCAUGGCUUCGACGGGUAGCCGGCCUGAGAGGGUGACCGGUCACACUGGGACUGAAACACGGGCCAGACUCCUACGGGAGGCAGCAGUGGGGAAUAUUGGACAAUGGGCGAAAGCCUGAUCCAGCGACGCCGCGUGGGUGAUGAAGGCCUUCGGGUUGUAAAGCCCUGUCGGGAGGGACGAAGUUCUGACGGUACCUCCCAAGAAAGCACCGGCUAACUCCGUGCCAGCAGCCGCGGUAAUA
rnacentral:rRNA from 1 species